GUUCCUGUUCCUGCAUUAAUGUGAAGCAGGUAAAGUGCUGUUUCCAGCAUUUAGACCAGACCACAAUAGCAAGCGUUUGACCUUGUUCGCUCCUCCAUCUUCUUCCCUGAUGGAGGCAGAAGAAGGUGGAGCGAGGGCAAUUAAAGGACAGUCAGCAGAAGGACGUGGAGGACAAAUCUUGCGUUGCCCACACACGCCCCUCCCCACCCCAACCCACCCUCGACCCCCUCCCCCUGCCAAACUGCUGACAAGGACGCACUCGGGCGCCGGCUAAAAGCCGGGUGGGCUCCUCGGGGAGGUCUAAUGGGGGCUCUUCGUACCUACCUUUGUCCAGCAGCUGGUUGAAGAGGGACACGUUGGAGAAGAAGAAGAGGGUGUAGAUAAUAAUAUUCUGCUGAGAAGAAAUGAAGAACUUUACGACAAUACGAGGGUUUACCUGAAGGACCCUGCGUACUGGCUCUGGGAAUCCUACACCUCCUUUCCAGCAAGGCUCGGAGCUGUCCAUGGGGAAGGGAUUACAGUCCAAAAGACCUGGAAGGACUACGUACAGAGCCUAAGAACACACAACACACACGUAAUAAAAAACAACAACAGAGUAGACAGUUUUCUACAAAAACCAGCAUUUGGAAGGAAAGGGGGUCUUGUGGACCUUGGUGAUGUAGUAGACACACUGCUGGAAGGUGUACAUGAUGACUUCCUCCAGGAUGCUCAUGGCCUCCUCGUUGGCUGAGAUGGUCGCCGACAGCAGAGACUCCUUGGAUCCUGAGGCCGGAUAACCAAAAAGAGGUGAGGUCCCCGCAUCGUCGUAAUGACCAGUUAGUGUGUGUGUGCGCACCUUGCAGUAUCUCCAUGUUGUGCGUGUACGACGGCGCUCGCUGCUGAAUGAAGUACAAGAUCUCGAUGGAGUUGGACAUCCAGAAGAAGACGGUCUGCAGGUCCGGGAUCAGGUCUGAGAUGUUGAGCAGGGACAGGGACGACGGGUCCUGACUGCAAGUGCACAAU